rnacentral:lncRNA from 1 species
AUAGAAUCAUUCUUUUGUAGGACGGCUCUACAUUGCUGACUCCACCAUCCACAUGGCGUGAGUUAUGGUGAGUCAGCAUAUAAAGCCAUUCUAUGAUAAGACGAUUUUAUUUUAAACAGUAUUUUGAUAAAUAUUUUGUAAAAAAUAUUAUUUAUAUAAUUUUUUAAAAUUAAUAUUAUUUAGAUAAAAUUGUCAAAGAGUGACAAGAAAUACAGUUGAUGGGGAG